GACAGAGGUGCCGAGCGUUAGGCGGAAUCACUGGGCUUAAAGCGUGUGUAGGCGGACUUCUAAGUACCUUGUGAAAUCCCACGGCUCAACCGUGGAACUGCUUGGUAUACUGGUUGUCUUGAGCCACUUAGGGGCAGUCGGAACAGACGGUGGAGCGGUGAAAUGCGUAGAUAUCAUGUGGAACGCCAAUGGUGAAAACAGCUCGCUGGGGGUUUGCUGACGCUGAGACACGAAGGCCAGGGGAGCAAACGGG
rnacentral:rRNA from 1 species